CAUUCGCUGAUGCUGUCCAGGAAGUAAGGAGCCUCCCUGGGAACCAAGAGGUCCCAAUCUCCGAGGACAUUUUCAAGCACUAAUUAGCCAGUGCUUCUUAAGGGCUCACGGGACAAAGUCCCUCAGGCAAAUACUUCCCCAUCUGAGAACCGGGGUCGAGGUGGUGGCCUCGGGCACAUGCCCUGCAACGCUCCACUCCCAGCACAGUGAGGCCUGUGGGUCGUCGUGGCCCCAAGGGAACGCAACUGGGAGGGCAGGAGGGGGGUAUCUCGUAAGUGGAGAAGGCUUAAAUAUCUAAAUUACAGGAAUUUACUCUUGUUUAUGCCCUCGUGCUCCCGUGAAUCAGGAACUCAGUGCUGCUUGCCAGUCCCCCCACUGCUCCAGAACCUGGGCUCGGGAGGGGAUGGUGGUGGCUGGGUCAAUCCUGGAACAAACGUUCGCCUCAUUUCUGCUACGAAUGAGUACCUGCCGACCUUCCGGGUGCCCACAUGUGUAUGAUGGCAAGUGAUCUGACUUCUGCAAGGAAUGUUUUCUAGACUGACAAAGGUUCACCUUAACACCGCCACUCCUCCUGCCUCCCAGAGAUUCGGCCCCCACAAAAACACUGGGCCUUUCUGGCUAAAGACGUCACCGCAUGAGAGGCCUGUGGAGAAUCUGGAAGGACACACGGGGAGUGAAAACAGAGAAAUAGACACCUGCACACAGUAUUUUAGCAGGAACCCCCGAAGGAAAUGGGACAGGUGGCCGCGGGGUAGAGGCGAAGCUGCACGAUGGGCAUGAGGCUGUGGCCCAACCUGAGCCCCAAGCGCACUCAUCCGCUCGGAGCUAAGGGAUCAAGAGCUAAGACGAUUCUAGAAAGCAGAGAAAUAAACUCGACAAACCAACUGCACCUUGCUCCUUCGUCGAGCUACAAGCCAACUGGAGGACUGAUUCGGCUCUCGUUAUCCACCAGGGCCAUCACCUCAACACUUUUUUAUUUUUUAGGACUUCAUUUGUUCAUUUUAGAGAGAGAGAGCACAAGCAGAAGGGGUGAAGGGAGAGAGAGAGAAUGUCAGGUAGACACCCCGCUAAGUGCAGAGCUGGAUGGGGGGCUCCAUCCCAGGGCCCUGAGGUCAUGACCCCAGCCAAAACCAACAGUCGGAGGCUUACCCCACUGCGCCCCUGGGCACCCCUCCACGCUCUUUUAUCUGGAACACUGGUGUGUACAACUUAAGAAAGCUACUCCCCUUUUCUAAUCGGAUGGCUGCCCCAGUUUGUUGGUAUAUGGAAAGUUCUAGCAGCUGCUAUAAAGACAUAUUCUCAUUAGCAACAGUAUCCUCUGCUGGUAGUCUCUCUGAAUUUUUCGUAAGAAUGAAAAAUAUAGCAUGAACCUCCUGUCACCCUGAGAUAGAAGAUAAAAGUUUGAAACUGAAGACUUCAAAGUGUUAUGAGUCACGUAAAACAACCGCUUCAGCAGAUUUCUUCCACCACACACUGUUCCUUCUGUGUGAAUAAAUUGGCAACAGAGAACACAGAUGGCUCCUCCAUGAAUAAUUUAUUUCUAACAAUUUAACUAGGAAAUGAAUUCCUCUUGACUUGUACAACAGAAUGAUGAACACCAAAGCCGUGGUCUACUACCUUCCCUCAGUUAAUUCCGUGGGUUUUUUCCUCCUCGUCUCACACCUUAUCCACUUUCCUUUUCACGUGUUUUGUUGCGUGAAUUUCAAAGUUGCCUCCACCCAAGGCUUCCUUCUGGCAAUUGCCAGACAACUGGAACCAGACUAGCCAAUCAGCAUACUCCCUCUGACUACAACAACUGUUUCAGAUCUGAACAUGUGACACAAGCCAGACCAGAAACAGACUAAACGUCUAGGGGCAUUUUAAGCAGAGCAAAAGCAUCAUACACAAACCUCAAGAAAAAACUGUUUGAUGGCAGAGUUUUAAAGAUUCUGAUUCAAUGAGUCGGGUCUGGGUCCCAAGAGCCUGCAUUUUGAGCAAGACCUAUGUGUUGGUGAUACCAUUGAUAGAAGGGACACAGGUGGGCACCACACUCUAAGCAACAAGAAAGGAAACAGGGAGCAGAUGGCAUGGAGCACCUGAGAUGACUCGAUCACAAUAAUGGGACUGGAUUUAGCAUGUUCCCCAGCUCUUUAAACAGACUAUGUCACUAUAUAUA